GAGGGUAUAGCUCAGUGGCAGAGUGCCUGCUUAGCAUGCAGAAGGUCCUGAGUUCAAUCCCCAGUACCUCCA
rnacentral:tRNA from 1 species